rnacentral:rRNA from 1 species
GGGCCCGCACAAGCGGCGGAGCAUGCGGCUUAAUUCGAUGCAACGCGAAGAACCUUACCUAGGCUUGACAGUUGGGGAAAACUGGCAGAGAUGUCAGGUCCGUAAGGGCCCCAAAACAGGUGGUGCAUGGCUGUCGUCAGCUCGUGUCGUGAGAUGUUGGGUUAAGUCCCGCAACGAGCGCAACCCUCGUCGUAUGUUGCCAGCGGAUAACGCCGGGGACUCAUACGAGACUGCCGGGGUCAACUCGGAGGAAGGUGGGGACGACGUCAAGUCAUCAUGCCCCUUAUGUCUAGGGCUGCACGCAUGCUACAAUGGCCGGUACAGAGGGCUGCGAAACCGCAAGGUAGAGCGAAUCCCAAAAAGCCGGUCUCAGUUCGGAUUGGGGUCUGCAACUCGACCCCAUGAAGUCGGAGUCGCUAGUAAUCG